GCGCCUACGGGGCGCAGCAGUGAGGAAUAUUGGUCAAUGAGCGGAAGCCUGAACCAGCCAAGUCGCGUGAGGGAUUAAGGCCCUGCGGGUCGUAAACCUCUUUUGCCGGGGAGCAGUGGUCCGGACGCGUCCGGACCGGGAGAGUACCCGGAGAAAAAGCAUCGGCUAACUCCGUGCCAGCAGCCGCGGUAAUACGGAGGAUGCGAGCGUUAUCCGGAUUUAUUGGGUUUAAAGAGUGCGCAGGCGGAAGAUCAAGUCAGCGGUAAAAUUGAGAGGCUCAACCUCUUCGAGCCGUUGAAACUGGU
rnacentral:rRNA from 1 species